UACAGCCACAUCAUGUUGAAACACCGGCUCCCUUAAGAUCACCGAAGUUAAGCAACGUCGUGUUUGGACAGUAUCUAGAUGGAUGAUCGCUUGGGAAUACCAGGCACUGUAAG